rnacentral:rRNA from 1 species
GACGAACGCUGGCGACGUGCUUAACACAUGCAAGUCGAACGGAAAGGCCCUGCUUUUGUGGGGUGCUCGAGUGGCGAACGGGUGAGUAACACGUGAGUAACCUGCCCUUGACUUUGGAAUAACUUCAGGAAACUGGGGCUAAUACCGGAUAGGAGCUCCUGCUGCAUGGUGGGGGUUGGAAAGUUUCGGCGGUUGGGGAUGGACUCGCGGCUUAUCAGCUUGUUGGUGGGGUAGUGGCUUACCAAGGCUUUGACGGGUAGCCGGCCUGAGAGGGUGACCGGCCACAUUGGGACUGAGAUACGGCCCAGACUCCUACGGGAGGCAGCAGUGGGGAAUAUUGCACAAUGGGCGGAAGCCUGAUGCAGCAACGCCGCGUGCGGGAUGACGGCCUUCGGGUUGUAAACCGCUUUCGCCUGUGACGAAGCGUGAGUGACGGUAAUGGGUAAAGAAGCACCGGCUAACUACGUG